rnacentral:rRNA from 1 species
GAUUGGAUUGCACGUCUAAGCAGUAAGGCUGAGUAUUAGGCAAAUCCGGUACUCAUUAAGGCUGAGCUGUGAUGGGGAGAAGACAUUGUGUCUUCGAGUCGUUGAUUUCACACUGCCGAGAAAAGCCUCUAGAUAGAAAAUAGGUGCCCGUACCGCAAACCGACACAGGUAGUCAAGAUGAGAAUUCUAAGGUGAGCGAGCGAACUCUCGUUAAGGAACUCGGCAAAAUGACCCCGUAACUUCGGGAGAAGGGGUGCUCUUUAGGGUUAACGCCCAGAAGAGCCGCAGUGAAUAGGCCCAAGCGACUGUUUAUCAAAAACACAGGUCUCUGCUAAACCGUAAGGUGAUGUAUAGGGGCUGACGCCUGCCCGGUGCUGGAAGGUUAAGAGGAGUGGUUAGCUUCUGCGAAGCUACGAAUCGAAGCCCCAGUAAACGGCGGCCGUAACUAUAACGGUCCUAAGGUAGCGAAAUUCCUUGUCGGGUAAGUUCCGACCCGCACGAAAGGCGUAACGAUUUGGGCACUGUCUCAACGAGAGACUCGGUGAAAUCAUAGUACCUGUGAAGAUGCAGGUUACCCGCGACAGGACGGAAAGACCCCGUGGAGCUUUACUGUAGCCUGAUAUUGAAAUUCGGCACAGCUUGUACAGGAUAGGUAGGAGCCUUUGAAACGUGAGCGCUAGCUUACGUGGAGGCGCUGGUGGGAUACUACCCUAGCUGUGUUGGCUUUCUAACCCGCACCACUUAUCGUGGUGGGAGACAGUGUCAGGCGGGCAGUUUGACUGGGGCGGUCGCCUCCUAAAAGGUAACGGAGGCGCUCAAAGGUUCCCUCAGAAUGGUUGGAAAUCAUUCAUAGAGUGUAAAGGCAUAAGGGAGCUUGACUGCGAGACCUACAAGUCGAGCAGGGUCGAAAGACGGACUUAGUGAUCCGGUGGUUCCGCAUGGAAGGGCCAUCGCUCAACGGAUAAAAGCUACCCCGGGGAUAACAGGCUUAUCUCCCCCAAGAGUUCACAUCGACGGGGAGGUUUGGCACCUCGAUGUCGGCUCAUCGCAUCCUGGGGCUGUAGUCGGUCCCAAGGGUUGGGCUGUUCGCCCAUUAAAGCGGUACGCGAGCUGGGUUCAGAACGUCGUGAGACAGUUCGGUCCCUAUCCGUCGUGGGCGUAGGAAAUUUGAGAGGAGCUGUCCUUAGUACGAGAGGACCGGGAUGGACAUACCUCUGGUGUACCAGUUGUCGUGCCAACGGCAUAGCUGGGUAGCUAUGUGUGGACGGGAUAAGUGCUGAAAGCAUCUAAGCAUGAAGCCCCCCUCAAGAUGAGAUUUCCCAACUUCGGUUAUAAGAUCCCUCAAAGAUGAUGAGGUUAAUAGGUUCGAGGUGGAAGCAUGGUGACAUGUGGAGCUGACGAAUACUAA